rfam:chromosome II of strain GB-M1 of Encephalitozoon cuniculi (Microspora)
GGUGGUAUGGUCUAGCGGUAUGACGCUUGCUUAGGGUGCAAGAGGCCUUGGGUUCGAAUCCCAAUACCGCCC